GAGUGUUACAGCUUUUUUAGAAUUUGUGUAGCAGGCUUUCAGGUUUUGCUGGAAAUCCCCA
ensembl:snRNA U7 U7 small nuclear RNA